CCAUUCUGGUUCUCUGGUUCCCAUACGAUCACCGAAGUUAAGCAACCACACGCCUAGUCAGAAGCAAGAUGGGUGACCGCUUGGCAAUACCAAGUGUUGUAC